rnacentral:rRNA from 1 species
AUUGAACGCUGGCGGCAUGCCUUACACAUGCAAGUCGAGCGGCAGCACGGGUGCUUGCACCUGGUGGCGAGUGGCGAACGGGUGAGUAAUACAUCGGAACAUGUCCUGUAGUGGGGGAUAGCCCGGCGAAAGCCGGAUUAAUACCGCAUACGAUCCACGGAUGAAAGCGGGGGACCUUCGGGCCUCGCGCUAUAGGGUUGGCCGAUGGCUGAUUAGCUAGUUGGUGGGGUAAAGGCCUACCAAGGCGACGAUCAGUAGCUGGUCUGAGAGGACGACCAGCCACACUGGGACUGAGUCACGGCCCAGACUCCUACGGGAGGCAGCAGUGGGGAAUUUUGGACAAUGGGCGAAAGCCUGAUCCAGCAAUGCCGCGUGUGUGAAGAAGGCCUUCGGGUUGUAAAGCACUUUUGUCCGGAAAGAAAUCCUUGACUCUAAUACAGUCGGGGGAUGACGGUACCGGAAGAAUAAGCACCGGCUAACUACGUG